rnacentral:lncRNA from 1 species
CGUAAUGCCCAAUAAAUGUUUAUAUGUGUAAUUAUUGUUUUUGUUGUAAAGACUGUUUUUGAAAUGUAUUCUUCCUGGAAAAGAAGACCCUGAGCAGGGCCCUCUCUGCUUGAAACCCCACAAAUUAUAACCUGACCACCCCAUGCAACCAAGACCCACACACAUCCAUCCAAGGGGAGAGACAGGGGGACAGAGAGAGAGAGAGAUUUAAUUCAUUGAAGGUACUGGGACUCUGACGAACCAAAUGACCACGGGCCUAUUGGUGAAGUAGAAAACUGUGUCCUAUUUGGUCAACACUGUUCCAGAGAUAAAAAUUGUUGGUUUGACUGUCCAUGUGUUGAACCAUCUAAGAGAAUCUGUGAGAGUCGUGCAGUCUGUGAAAGUCGGGCAGCCACUCCAUAGUGCUGCCAAAUGUAGUGUAUUGAAUGAGUAACCAGCACAUGGCACCGUAUUGUUGGGUAGGACAGCAUAAAAGGCCAGUUUCCUAGACACAGAUUUAAACCUCCUGGACUAAGAAGAAUAUCCAGUGGAGAUUCUCUAUUUAAAGUAGUUAAUAGUGCAGGAAUAGGUUUUAUUCUGUGUCCAGGAAAACCGACCCAUGAUGUAUGAUUUGAAUGUUAACGCAGAGUAGCCUACUAGCUAUAUUUGAGGGCUGUGGCUGUAAAUACAGAGGUUCUCUUAAAGCUACGCACCCGGAUGACAUUCUGUGAAUGUGUUAUAUUACUCACCCUCUUCAGAACCAUGAUGAUGUAGCCUAUGCCUCAUAUUCCUGAACAGCUGAAAUAAAUAAUAAACGUGUCAAUUUGAAGAAAUAUUCAAGGCCAUUAUGAAGGUUACAGCGUUCUGUCUGUUUUAACCCAUAGAAGUCCCAGCCAGCUGGCUACUUCAAAAUGGUGAAAGCCCUCAAUGGCGCUGACCAUGCUAAAACGGGCUUUUGGGCACAAGAAUUCUCUAUCAAUCUCUAUGGCUACACUAGAAAAAAGCGAUCAUCGCCAAUCAAGGAGAGGUAGCAGCAGUGAAGCGCUGAGCAGCAGCUACGUAGGCAGCGGAGUGGGCAGCAGCUACAUUUAAAAAAAAAGUAAUCAAUUGGCAAUCUCUAUCUUUAGCCACAGCAAAUCAGGAUCCAGAAAAUCUGGAACCACAGCCACUCCGAUAUUUCAGAUUGUGUUCACAGGACAAAUUCUUCAGCUUUUAGCUAUAAUUGACUGCCAUACCUCUGUAGUUCCUUCCCAUAACCAGCUGGAUGUGACAGUUACUGAAAUGGAUAGAUGGAUACCUUUUAUAGUUAUAUUUGUAAAUGUGAUUUCUCAGAAUAUGAACAAUUAGACAUACAGUAUGUAUUAGAAAAAUAAUUAUGGAAAAAUGACAUACUCAGAUGGUUGGUUGAUUGAUUGAUUGAUUGACUGUUGAUUGCUUGUUUGAUUGAUUGACAGCCCAAUCGAUACAACAAUGAAUCAAUUUGUUGAUUGAAUGGGCUCCCCAUUUUAAAUUCAACUGUUUUGUAUAUAACAUUUAUUUUAAAGCAUGUAAAGUGCUGCUGUAUUAAUCAGCAUGUUUUAUCAUUUUCAUAUACAGAAAAUAACACAGUAUGCAAAACGAUGUAUCAUUAAAGGGGAAAUCUGCAGUUCAAAUACUAAGAAUGCCGUCAUCCUGCCACCUUUUUUAGGUUAACAGCUUAGUGAUGGGGCUGGAGAAAUGUAACCACUUUAAUUCAUAGAUGAGGCUAUGGAUGCUAUGGACUGACCAUUCACGACAUCAAAAUUAUAGUUGUAACUAUGUUUUGAAGCUAUACAGUGUCUGUUUAGAAUUACAUUGUUUACAAACAAUGGAGUUUAAACAAGCAGAAGUUAUAUUAAUCAAUAGUUAUAUAUAAUUAAUUUAAAAGUCCCCAAAAUUGAUGUAGCAAUCACAGAUUCCCACUUUAAAUAUGGUUAAAAUUAGACAUGAACAAUAUAAACAAUAAAUUCUCUAAAUUCUCACUCUUUGUAACUUCCCUGUGUUUUCCUUCAGUGUCUAAGUCUAUGGGUCAAGUCUUAGUCAAUGUAACAUCAGGGGCCUCAGAGGGAUGGAGGGGUAGUUUAGUAAGGUAGUUUGUCUGGUUUGUUGACAUAUUUGUCCACUGGGUGGCGCUGUGCUAUAGCUGGCUCCUGUACUGUGCUGUAGAUUGAUGUAGGCUCUGCCUCAGAAGGGCUAUGUGGUCCUGGCCUCUCUCUUUUUGGACAGCCCAGUUUGUCCACUAGGUGGCGCUCUUCUACCGCUGGUUGCUGCACAGUGCUGUAGAGUGCCUCUGCACUUUCUUCUGGUAAAGUGUACCCUUUGUCCACUGGGUGGUGUUCUUCUAUUGCUGCUGCUGGUACUGCUCCUGGUCUGCCUGCAGUGACGUAGAUAGAUGUCACCUCAGAACCAGGGGUGUUUUGUAGUUCUGGUCUUCCUGGUAUAGCGGACACUGGGUUGUCAACUUCUGUAAUAACGCCCUGUUAGAAGAAGAGAAAUGUGAGAAACAACACAGAGUCGCUGAUGUGGCCCCGACCGCUCACCAGAAUUGAGUGCUCCUGAUCUCUCUGGCCGACCUGAGUAAGACCCUUGCAAGGCUGCCGGCCCAGACGGCAUCCCAAGCCGCGUCCUCAGAGCAUGUGCAGACCAGCUGGCUGGAGUGUUUACGGACAUAUUCAAUCUCUCCCUUUCCUAGUCUGUUGUCCCCACUUGCUUUAAGUUGUCCACCAUUGUUCCUGUACGCAAGAAAGCAAAGGCAACAACUAAAUGACUAUCGCCCCGUAACACUCAUUCUGAAGUGCUUUGAGGGGCUAGUUGGGGAUCAUAUCACCUCCACCUUACCCGACACCCUAGACCCACUACAAUGUGCAUACCACCCCAACAGGUCCACAGAUGACGCAAUUGCCAUAGCACUGCACACUGCCCUAUCCCACCUGGACAAAAGGAAAACCUAUGUGAGAAUACUGUUUAUCGACUACAGCUCAGCAUUCAACACAAUAGUGCCCUCAAAGCUCAUCACUAAGGUCAGGGCCCUGGGCCUGAACCCUUCCCUGUGCAACUGAGUCCUAGACUUCCUGACGGGCCAACCCCAAGUGGUGAAGGUAAGCAACAACACAUACGGCACGCUGAUCCUCAUCGCGGGGGCCCCACAGGGGUGCGCACUCAGCCCACUCCUGUACUCCCUGUUCACCCAUGACUGUGUGGCUAUGCACAUCUCCAACUCAAUCAUCAAGGUUUGCUGAUGACACAACAGUGGUAGGCCUGAUUACCAACAAUGACGAGACAGCCUACAGGGAAGAGGUGAAAGCCCUGGCGGAGUGGUGCCAGGAAAAUAACUUCUCCCUCAACG